ensembl:lncRNA
AAGAGAAAGAUUGAGACAACUGGUUGUUAAUUGUUUACUAACACACCACUGAUUAGGAGGCUCCCUUGGGUGAGGGGAUGUCUCUUUGAUGCAUGUUUCUUAGAAGAGAAUGUUAUUUAAGGAGACCAGCCCCCCUUACCUUGUUUCUAUUCUUUGGUCAAGGAAGGGAGGGAACUGAAGGGAGGCCCAGCUGGGCUCCCCCUGACUUGAUGAUCUGCUUUUCAGGUUCACAGGGACAAGUGUUUCCAGUGAAGUACCAGGAGGGGCAGACACUCAGAGUGAGCUGCAGCUACAAUUCCCAGAGAAAUGAGGAGAGCUGGAAAACCUGGUGUAAAGUGAGAGAAGAUGGAAAGGUGUGUGAUAGACUAAUUACCAGGACCUCAGUCUUAACUUGGCAACGUGGGGACCCACGAACCUCCCUGGAGGAUGACACCUACUCUGGUAACAUCACCAUCACCAUGUCUAACCUCAGGGUGAACGACUCAGGCAUCUAUUGGUGUGGAAUCCAUGACUCUGUCAGGAAUGCUAUUGAUAUUCUCAGGAUAAUCAGGCUGGAGGUUUCUCCAGACCAAAAAGAGAGUCCCCCAAAAUAUUCUCAGACUACUGCAGAGAUGCCUACCACCAACCUUGUCACCCCUGUGGCUAUCAGCAGGUAUAAUUCCUUCCUUGAAAGCCACUGUCCCAAGAGCCUUAGCCCCAACAAUCAGUAUGAUCUCACUUGUGCUAGCUUCAGCAUAUCCAUCUAAAUGGUCCUCUCACCAGCCUCAAUGACCCUCCUCAUUCUGGAUUAAAACAAAACAAAACAAAAAAAAAAACCCAAAACAAAAAAUAAAUAAAGGGGCAUUGGGAGCA